rnacentral:rRNA from 1 species
UACGUAGGGGGCAAGCGUUGUCCGGAAUCAUUGGGCGUAAAGAGCGCGUAGGCGGUCCGGUAAGUCCGCUGUGAAAGUCAAGGGCUCAACCCUUGAAUGCCGGCGGAUACUGUCGGGCUAGAGUCCGGAAGAGGCAAGUGGAAUUCCCGGUGUAGCGGUGAAAUGCGCAGAUAUCGGGAGGAACACCUAUGGCGAAGGCAGCUUGCUGGGACGGUACUGACGCUGGAGACGCGAAAGCGUGGGGAGCAAACAGG